rnacentral:rRNA from 1 species
AGUGAACGCUGGCGGUAUGCCUAACACAUGCAAGUCGAACGAAAGCACAGUAAGAUCUUGCCCUUACGGGUGGCGAGUGGCGGACGGGUGAGGAAUACAUAGGAAUCUACUUUUUCGUGGGGGAUAACGUAGGGAAACUGACGAUAAUACCGCAUAUAAUCUACGGGUUAAAGCAGGAGAUAUUCGGGCCUUUCGCGACUGAAUGAGCCGGAGCCGCAUUAGCUAGUUGGCAGGGUAAAGGCACACCAAGGCAACGAUACGUAGCCGACCUGAGAGGAUGAUCGGCCACACUGGAACUGAGACACGGUCCAGACUCCUACGGGAGGCAGCAGUGGGGAAUAUUGCGCAAUGGGCGCAAGCCUGACCGAGCAACGCCGCGUGGGUGAUGAAGGCCUUCGGAUCGUAAAGCUCUUUUAUUGGGAAAGAAAAACUGUGUAUUUAUCUCCGCACGUCUUGACGGUACCUAAUCAGAAAGCCCCGGCUAACUUCGUG